GGCUCCAGGUGUUGUCCACCCGCCUGUAAUCAGGCUCUGGGUGUGUGAGCGCUAGUGCUCUGCUGGCAGCCUGUGUAGGUUGACCGCCCCGUUAGUGGGGUGCCGGACUGGGAGAGAAGGAGCCUCCCUCGGCCGUAGGGAUGGGGGCUGCCCUGUAAUUCAGGGAGCAAGCGUGCCCCGCAGUCCCGGGCCCUUUGCAAUGGAGGCAGUGGCUGGGGUCCCCUGUAAGCAGGGAAGCUGACUCUUUGGUCACUGGCUUUUUGUGUGCCCGGCCCCAUUUGCCCAGUCUGCCCGCCUCUGUGAUCCCCCGCAGCACCGUCUGGAAGACCGCCGUGAGUCAGUGAGGAGCUGGUGCGGAAGAAAGAAGAGGCUCGGGGGACCUGGGUGGCAGGAGCAAGCAAGAAGUUACUGCUGUUACCUGUCAGUUUGUUUCAGUAAAGUUUUUCUUUUGGUGCC